AUAAAGUGUCCAGGGAUGGGAAUCGAACCCACAGUGUUCAGCUUACCGGGCAGAUGCCAUGACCACUAGGCUACCCUUCA